UGUUCCCCAUCAAGCUAAUCAAGACACUGCACUUAAGCUCUGUGGAGAGAGGAGUUGGGUGCCAGAGUACUCCCGCUUCUACAAUGUGCCUCCUCGAGCCUCCUGCACCUCCGCCAUAUCUCUGCCACGCUGCCAAGCUCUCCCUCCUGACACUCCCCUGCCUUCACCCCGAGCCUCACGCUUCACUCCUGCUUCUCCUGGAUCGCUCACCUUGGAUUUCCGAUCAAUCAUCCUUCACCUCACGGUUAAAAGAAAUACAAUCGCUUCAACUGCUUCCUCAGCUUCUGCUUGCAAUGCAACACAUAUCUAUGAAUGACUUUAAGAAGUGGAAGUGGGUCAGAAGUUGGGAAUACAUUAUAAAUGUGAGUCUGGCAGAAGCUGAUCACUUUUGGAGGAUGAUACAGACAAGGAGGGAGAACAAGAGGAGCGGAGGAGAGAAGAAGAAAUCACAGUUGUGGGUGAUGACAACUCUCUGCAUUGUAUAAAACUCAUAUAAUUUUUAUUUGCUCUUAGUUAAAUUAUUUCAACAAAUAUAUCCAAAUAAUAGUCAAAUAAAUGAGCAAAAAUCAAAA